GCAGUAUCAGGAUUUUCCUUAAGGUACAGAAGAGUCUAGAGGUGCUUGUCUAGAAGCUGAAUGUUUGCCCCAAGCAAGGGCCAGGACUAAGGCAAGACACAGCUGGGUCUCUCCUGGAACGAAUUCCCACAGACAAACUCUUCACCAGACCAUCAACUCAGAAGGGCAAAACGAGGAGCUUAUUGUGAAGAGUUUGGGCCAAACCACCCAGAGCUUCCUGUGCCAGAGAGGCUCGAUAAAAUCACUCAGCAAAUGGAAAAAUAUUUAUUUUGUGCUUAUUCUAAGAAAUGUGAUCCAUCAAAAUGAGCUGUCAAGUCCUUUCACUUCCAAGGACAGUGUCCACACAGUCCAGGCUGCCUCUGGAGCUGGAAUCAAAUCCAAGUUAGAGGCAAGUGAGGGCCAUACAGAUGUCUUCAAGGGUAUGCCGUAGCACGGACUUAAGGCACCAUCUGCAGACUCAGACUGCCUGGGUUUCAGCCCAACUCUCUCAUCCCUUAGCUGUGAAAAUUGGGCAAGUUGCUUAACCAUCCCUUAAUGCCAUUUUCCC
rnacentral:lncRNA from 1 species